UACGAAGGGGGCUAGCGUUGCUCGGAAUCACUGGGCGUAAAGCGCACGUAGGCGGCUUCUUAAGUCAGGGGUGAAAUCCUGGAGCUCAACUCCAGAACUGCCUUUGAUACUGGGGAUCUCGAGUCCGGAAGAGGUGAGUGGAACUCCGAGUGUAGAGGUGAAAUUCGUAGAUAUUCGGAAGAACACCAGUGGCGAAGGCGGCUCACUGGCCCGUAACUGACGCUGAGGUGCGAAAGCGUGGGGAGCAAACAGGG
rnacentral:rRNA from 1 species